UCUCACAAUUAGGGAUUAUCAUGGGCUGGAUAGGUGAGCCCAAACCCAAGCCAUUUGAAUAGGAUAAACCAAAGUUCCACAAGAACCAUUCAGCCUUGUUCGCUCCCUUACACGCUCUUAUCUCUCCCUUGCUCAAAGCACUUGCCGAAAAACUCAACAGCUCCUCCGCACUGAUCGUCGGGCGGCAGAGCACGUAAUGACUCACCCUAUACGGUUCCAAUCGUUUCAAACCCCUCAAUCAAAAUCCGGUCUCGGUUUACGCCAACUCUCCCUCACGAACAUAAACCAAAGCUAACUGUUACAUAAAUCCUAACCAUGAAUUGCAAUCGAAGCUUCACAGAACUACCUUCGAAAACGCGCUCGGCCGUGGUGACGGAAGAGUAUGGAAGAGAAGGCUCAUUGAGGAUGAUGAGGUGGAGUGGUGCAGAGUGUGCAAAUGAUGAAAAAGAACGUGAAGAAGAUUCGUGGAAUCGAUCAACCCCCUGAAUGUAUGGCAAGUGGAUGUAUGUGUGGUUCUGUCUUGGACAAUGUUGACGUUUGUAGGUUCGAUGAAUGUAAGGCUUGAUGGUUGUGGAGGCUUAUGGAAGCAUCAUGGCAUGGUGGUUUGGUGGGCCUUCAAAUUCAAUUAAGAUUCUCUUUUCUUUCCAAUUUUGAUUCAAAUGUAUUAUAACAAUGUAGCAUGAUGUAAUAAAACUAGAUAAUGGAUUUAUGCAAAAUGAUUCAUGCAAUGUUAAUGCUUAUGGUUCA